rnacentral:rRNA from 1 species
GGGUCAGGAGGUUGGUCGUGCCACCGGUACGUACUGGUCUCACUGAUUCCUCCUUCCUGAAGAACCGUAAUGCCAUUAAUUUGGUGUUGCGGGGAAACAGGACUGUUACUUUGAAAAAAUUAGAGUGUUUAAAGCAAGCUAACGCUUGAAUACAUUAGCAUGGAGUAAUGAAAUAGGACGAUCGAUCCUAUUUUGUUGGUUUCUAGGAUUGACGUA